rnacentral:lncRNA from 1 species
GGGGCGGGGCCCGGGCCGCAUUGUCUCGUCUAGGGCCGGCUGGACGCCCCAGAGGCCGGACCUGGGCAACCCCAGCCUGGAGGUGCCGGGGCCGGAGCUCCCAGAGGGCUGGGUGCGAGGCCUAGGCGGGGUCAGGUUCGGGUUCCUAGGCCAUAGCGGAGCUGCAGCCCAGGCGGCCGGAGCGGAACCCAGCCCCGCUCCGAGUGCCACGUCUCCAGGAACCCCCUCCUUACUCUUGGACAACACUCCGCCCCCGCCCGGGCCUCCGUCCCCCAAACCGCCCUCAUUUGUGCAGCGCCAGAUCCUUCGGACACAUCCCUAGGUGUCUCCAUCCUCAUUCGGUCCAUCCAACUCCCAGACCUCACGUCAACCGGCUGCACCCCACUUUCCAGCCUGCGCCCCAGAUCUGCAGCCUUCGCCCCUAGAUACACCCGCCUGGUGAUGAGGCGCUCCUCGCGUUCCUUCCGGUAACCGCGUUGCGAAGACCACGCUGCCGGGUUGCAAACUUGGGGGGACUUCCUCCCUCCCCUCCCCCUGGGCGCCGUGCAACUGCCCUGGGACCGGGUUCUGGGAUGAGGGGGGCAGACCGGGCUCCCCAGCGGCCGGCGCAGCACGUAGCGCACGUGUAGGGUCCGCUCCCCACCCCCUCGCCGCCUCUGACAACUUUUCAGGGCUCCAGGUGUCCGUGAGCCUCCCUUCCGCCCUGGCCUCCGGUCUCUGCCUUGCUCGUGCUUCUACCACCACCCUUCCCCUCCCAACCCGGUGGAUCCUCUCGUCUCCCCCAGUCUCCAGUGCACCGGCUUUCCCUCGUCCUCUGCGCAGUCCAUCUCAGCUCAUCUCUCCAAUUCAAUGCCAUCAUCUCUCCUCACCAUCUCUCGGUGCCCUGGAAUGUUUGCUGUCAGAUGUCCCCUGUGAAACCCACAAACGCUUGCGAUUUGGCCUCCUUGUUUUAUUUUGUGUAGUCCUACAACGUCUUGUUACUACCCCCUAUUACAACACUUAUAACUCAGUAUUUGUCUUUUUUCCGCGGUGUCCCUGCACUCUCCCCAUACAUAUUCCUCUCCUGCCAGAUUGUAAGCCUCUAGAGGGAAGAAGUAAUGUCUCUCUCCUUGGCACCAGGCACGUGGCACACGCUCCACAAAUAUUUGUUGAAAGGGAGGGUAAAUGGCCUUGAGUUUCUGUGGCUACCAUUGGCUGAGGAUGGAGCUUUGGGCUGGACAAAGAAGAAUCUGGUUGACCACAUGAAGCAGGAAGGAGGCUCAGAACGGUGUUGAGGGAGCCUCCACAAUGGGUGGGCACCACAGUUGGGCAACUUGAGAAGCCCUGGACUCCCAAGGAGCAAUCCUGUGAGCUGCUUAGAGAAGCUGUGAGGAUUAGAGGGAAACUCAUGUUCCCUGUUCAUCCCGCAGUGGCACCACCAGCACCCCUAAUUUGGGUCUCUGGGCUGAGGGGCCCCUGGCAGCAUGCUCAAUGGCCUUGGAUAGCUGGAAUGUUUGGAAUUGCCUGCAUCUUGGAUGAAAGUCUUAACAAUAGAAUGAAAACUGCUGCAACACUGUGUCAGCACUUUACAGACCACCACUGUAAAUUCCCAGUUGAAACUGGGAAUUUGGAAUUCCAUGUUCAACCAAAUCAUGCUGAGUGCCCAGCACAGCGUCUGACACACUAAAUGCUACAGGUGAAUUCCCUUUUUCCUCUUUCCUGGCAGGAAGCGGGGAUAGGGGAACCACUAGAAAUACUGUAAUAACAUGAAUAAGACAAGGCCAUUAGCCGGGAGCAAAUCAUAGAACAUCAGCCCUGUGAAAUGAGUGGUAUUAGUGUUACCAUUUUUCAGAUGGAGAAAUUGAGACUCAGAAAGGUUAAUUAGCCAAAAAUCACACAGACAGUAAUAGCAGAGCUAGGAAAAGAAUGUUCAUCCUAGUACCUAACUUUGAUCUUCCCAAAACACCAAACUGACUUCUAAAGCUGAAGAAAGAGGACACAGAAGCUUCAUCUCAGAUCUCACCACCAGCUGCCCCUUAAUCUGCCAACAUCGAACCAUUCUCUCCCCUCUAGACUACAGUGGCUUCAAACUUUGACUUAUCUCCAGUAUUUUUUUGUACAUAGCAAUAGCAACAAAAGUUUCACAAAACAAUAUUACCUUUGUAUGGCCAGGCACGGUGGCUCAUGCCUGUAAUCCCAACAUUUUGGGAGGCCAAGGCGGGCAGAUCAUGAGGUCAGGAGAUCAAGACCAUCCUGGCCAACAUGGUGAAACCCC